rnacentral:rRNA from 1 species
UCUAGAAGCUUCGGCAAUGGGGGAAACCCUGACCGAGCGACGCCGCGUGCAGGACGAAGGUCUUCGGAUCGUAAACUGCUUUCGCUGGGGGAGAAAUGCCUCGGGGUGAAUAAUCUCGAGGCUAGACGGUACCCAGUAAAGAAGCUCCGGCUAAGUCCGUGCCAGCAGCCGCGGUAAUACGGGCGGAGCGAGCGUUGUUCGGAUUCAUUGGGUGUAAAGGGUGCGAAGGCGGUCGUCUAAGUCGGAGGUGAAAUGUCUACGGCUCAACCGAGGCAUUGCCUCCGAUACUGGACGACUUGAGUGCGGAAGGGGGGCGUGGAAUUCCUGGUGUAGCGGUGAAAUGCGUAGAUAUCAGGAGGAACACCGGUGGCGAAGGCGACGCUCUGGUCCACAACUGACGCUCAUGCACGAAAGCCAGGGGAGCGAAAG